AUUGAACGCUAGCGGGAUGCCUUACACAUGCAAGUCGAACGGAGUGGCGAACGGGUGAGUAAUGUAUCUGUACGGGCCCAUUAGCGGUGGAUAACUACGAGAAAGCGUAGCUAAUACCGCAUACUAUUGGAGUGGCCGAGAGCGGGUUAGCUAGUUGGUGGGGUAACGGCUCACCAAGGCCACGAUCCGUAGCUGGUUUGAGAGGACGACCAGCCACACUGGGACUGAGACACGGCCCAGACUCCUACGGGAGGCAGCAGUGGGGAAUUUUGGACAAUGGGGGAAACCCUGAUCCAGCCAUCCCGCGUGUGUGAUGAAGGCCUUCGGGUUGUAAAGCACUUUUGGCAGGGAAGCGGUACCUGCAGAAUAAGCACCGGCUAACUACGUGCCAGCAGCCGCGGUAAUUC
rnacentral:rRNA from 1 species